GGAGGGGGAUCGCAAGACCUCUCGCUAUUGGAGCGGCCGAUAUCAGAUUAGCUAGUUGGUGGGGUAAAGGCCUACCAAGGCAACGAUCUGUAGUUGGUCUGAGAGGACGACCAGCCACACUGGGACUGAGACACGGCCCAGACUCCUACGGGAGGCAGCAGUGGGGAAUUUUGGACAAUGGGCGCAAGCCUGAUCCAGCAAUGCCGCGUGCAGGAAGAAGGCCUUCGGGUUGUAAACUGCUUUUGUCAGGGAAGAAAUCUUCUGGGCUAAUACCCCGGGAGGAUGACGGUACCUGAAGAAUAAGCACCGGCUAACUACGUG
rnacentral:rRNA from 1 species